rnacentral:rRNA from 1 species
GACGUAGGGUGCGAGCGUUGUCCGGAAUUAUUGGGCGUAAAGAGCUCGUAGGCGGUCUGUCGCGUCGGUCGUGAAAACUUGGGGCUUAACCCUGAGCUUGCGGUCGAUACGGGCAUGACUGGAGUUCGGCAGGGGAGACUGGAAUUCUCGGUGUAGCGGUGAAAUGCGCAGAUAUCAGGAGGAACACCGGUGGCGAAGGCGGGUCUCUGGGCCGA